rnacentral:rRNA from 1 species
AUUGAACGCUGGCGGCAGGCCUAACACAUGCAAGUCGAACGAGUGGCGGACGGGUGAGUAAUGCUUGGGAAUCUAGCUGAUGGAGGGGGAUAACUACGGGAAACGGUAGCUAAUACCGCGUACCAUCGGAUGCGCCCAGGUGGGAUUAGGUAUUUGGUGGGGUAAAGGCUCACCAAGGCGACGAUCCCUAGCUGGUCUGAGAGGAUGACCAGCCACACUGGGACUGAGACACGGCCCAGACUCCUACGGGAGGCAGCAGUGGGGAAUAUUGCGCAAUGGGCGCAAGCCUGACGCAGCCAUGCCGCGUGAAUGAAGAAGGCCUUCGGGUUGUAAAGUUCUUUCAGUAGCGAGGCGUUAACCGCAGAAGAAGCACCGGCUAACUCCGUGCCAGCAGCCGCGGUAAUUC